CCGGGCCGGGCCGGGUAGAGGUCCGCGCGGCUCCCGCGGGCUAGACCAGGUGGAGGGGGACGCGCGGGCGGGUGCGGGGCUAGGGGCCUCAGUUAGCGGGGGGCAGGGGUCCCCCCCGGUGGUGAGAUGGGAGGGCGCGGGUCUUCGGAGUCAGGGAUGGGCCAUGCGCCCACCCCGCCCUGCAGGCCCGGGCCGGUCGGACGCCCCGGGGGAUCUGGGCUUGCCUUCCAAAGAAGCCCACCCCUCUCGGCCUGGCGACGGGCCCCAGGCCACUUCCCCGAGGGCAGAGCCUGGGGACCCGGCGGGGGCCUCGGCCAGCGGCCGGUUCAAAACUACCGGGGCGGAGCUUCUUCGGUGUCCGGGUGAAGUUUCCAAACCAACCCAAGGAGGAAGCCCUCCGGGAGGGGAGAGGCCGAAAGCGGUUCGUUUCCCGUGCUUUGGCUGCUUGAAAGCACUUGGAAUACUAGGAGCUGUGAACUUAGCCAACAAACAGUGAGGGGGCUGAACCCCAUCGUCUCUGGGCCCCGGACCAAGGCGUGGGGGCGGGGGACGUCCACCCACCAGAAGGGAGAAGCGGGCAGGGAGGGCCGAGGAGGAAGGGAAGACAAUGGAAGGAAACGAUGUCUAGACUUUCCCCUGCCUCUCUCCCGCUCUUUCGGCUGCCUCCACCUUCUGGUCACCUCUCCUCCGACUCCAGAGGAAAGAAGCAAGAAGGAGUGAGUCACUGCUGCCUCCAGAAAGUAGUAGUUUGUUUACAACGACCAACAGCGGCAGUCCCCUGAAGGGACCGGCUGCAGCUGGGGUUGCUAGGACCCCGACGUCUACAUUCGUGCCCGUGAAUGACGUUGCACCAAGGCUGGCAUCUUCCAGGAUACUUUCAGAUACCUCACGGUGGUCCCUGGUGUGCGACCGUCACUGAGCCCUGAAACCCUGCCACCCCCAAAUACUGUGAAGAGAAUAGAGCAAAUACAAACUUUAAAAAAAAAGCAUGAACCCUGAUGCUUAGGGCGCUCACCGGCUUGUGUAAAUUUUGUGUACACACACACAAAAAGCGUACAUAAAGAGACAGACGGCAGAUCAGACAAGCGUGUGAAUAUUAAAAAAUGUUCAUCUUUAACCCAGGCAUUUUCCUAAGGAAACAACGGAGAAGUGCAGAAGAAUGGAUAUAAAAAAUGCAAUGUGGUGAUAUUUAUGAUGGUGGUAAAAUUGGGAACCGAUUAAAAGUCUGAGACUUACUUAAAUGAUAAUAUAGUCAUACAGUCAUUUAAAGUGAUGUACUUCAAUAUUUACUAACACGGGAAAAUAUUUUCAAGAUAUAUUGUUAAGGAAAUGCAGGGUAGAAAGCAGUCUGAUCUCAAGUUACUUCAUAUAUAUGAAGUUAUAUUUAAAUAUAUAACCCUUC
ensembl:lncRNA